rnacentral:rRNA from 1 species
GGGUUGUGAGGUUAAGCGACUAAGCGUACACGGUGGAUGCCCUGGCAGUCAGAGGCGAUGAAGGACGUGCUAAUCUGCGAUAAGCGUCGGUAAGGUGAUAUGAACCGUUAUAACCGGCGAUUUCCGAAUGGGGAAACCCAGUGUGAUUCGUCACACUAUCAUUAACUGAAUCCAUAGGUUAAUGAGGCGAACCGGGGGAACUGAAACAUCUAAGUACCCCGAGGAAAAGAAAUCAACCGAGAUUCCCCCAGUAGCGGCGAGCGAACGGGGAGCAGCCCAGAGCCUGAAUCAGUGUGUGUGUUAGUGGAAGCGUCUGGAAAGGCGUGCGAUACAGGGUGACAGCCCCGUACACAAAAAUGCACAUAUUGUGAGCUCGAUGAGUAGGGCGGGACACGUGGUAUCCUGUCUGAAUAUGGGGGGACCAUCCUCCAAGGCUAAAUACUCCUGACUGACCGAUAGUGAACCAGUACCGUGAGGGAAAGGCGAAAAGAACCCCGGCGAGGGGAGUGAAAAAGAACCUGAAACCGUGUACGUACAAGCAGUGGGAGCACGCUUAGGCGUGUGACUGCGUACCUUUUGUAUAAUGGGUCAGCGACUUAUAUUCUGUAGCAAGGUUAACCGAAUAGGGGAGCCGAAGGGAAACCGAGUCUUAACUGGGCGUUAAGUUGCAGGGUAUAGACCCGAAACCCGGUGAUCUAGCCAUGGGCAGGUUGAAGGUUGGGUAACACUAACUGGAGGACCGAACCGACUAAUGUUGAAAAAUUAGCGGAUGACUUGUGGCUGGGGGUGAAAGGCCAAUCAAACCGGGAGAUAGCUGGUUCUCCCCGAAAGCUAUUUAGGUAGCGCCUCGUGAAUUCAUCUCCGGGGGUAGAGCACUGUUUCGGCAAGGGGGUCAUCCCGACUUACCAACCCGAUGCAAACUGCGAAUACCGGAGAAUGUUAUCACGGGAGACACACGGCGGGUGCUAACGUCCGUCGUGAAGAGGGAAACAACCCAGACCGCCAGCUAAGGUCCCAAAGUCAUGGUUAAGUGGGAAACGAUGUGGGAAGGCCCAGACAGCCAGGAUGUUGGCUUAGAAGCAGCCAUCAUUUAAAGAAAGCGUAAUAGCUCACUGGUCGAGUCGGCCUGCGCGGAAGAUGUAACGGGGCUAAACCAUGCACCGAAGCUGCGGCAGCGACGCUUAUGCGUUGUUGGGUAGGGGAGCGUUCUGUAAGCCUGCGAAGGUGUGCUGUGAGGCAUGCUGGAGGUAUCAGAAGUGCGAAUGCUGACAUAAGUAACGAUAAAGCGGGUGAAAAGCCCGCUCGCCGGAAGACCAAGGGUUCCUGUCCAACGUUAAUCGGGGCAGGGUGAGUCGACCCCUAAGGCGAGGCCGAAAGGCGUAGUCGAUGGGAAACAGGUUAAUAUUCCUGUACUUGGUGUUACUGCGAAGGGGGGACGGAGAAGGCUAUGUUGGCCGGGCGACGGUUGUCCCGGUUUAAGCGUGUAGGCUGGUUUUCCAGGCAAAUCCGGAAAAUCAAGGCUGAGGCGUGAUGACGAGGCACUACGGUGCUGAAGCAACAAAUGCCCUGCUUCCAGGAAAAGCCUCUAAGCAUCAGGUAACAUCAAAUCGUACCCCAAACCGACACAGGUGGUCAGGUAGAGAAUACCAAGGCGCUUGAGAGAACUCGGGUGAAGGAACUAGGCAAAAUGGUGCCGUAACUUCGGGAGAAGGCACGCUGAUAUGUAGGUGAAGUCCCUCGCGGAUGGAGCUGAAAUCAGUCGAAGAUACCAGCUGGCUGCAACUGUUUAUUAAAAACACAGCACUGUGCAAACACGAAAGUGGACGUAUACGGUGUGACGCCUGCCCGGUGCCGGAAGGUUAAUUGAUGGGGUUAGCGCAAGCGAAGCUCUUGAUCGAAGCCCCGGUAAACGGCGGCCGUAACUAUAACGGUCCUAAGGUAGCGAAAUUCCUUGUCGGGUAAGUUCCGACCUGCACGAAUGGCGUAAUGAUGGCCAGGCUGUCUCCACCCGAGACUCAGUGAAAUUGAACUCGCUGUGAAGAUGCAGUGUACCCGCGGCAAGACGGAAAGACCCCGUGAACCUUUACUAUAGCUUGACACUGAACAUUGAGCCUUGAUGUGUAGGAUAGGUGGGAGGCUUUGAAGUGUGGACGCCAGUCUGCAUGGAGCCGACCUUGAAAUACCACCCUUUAAUGUUUGAUGUUCUAACGUGGACCCGUAAUCCGGGUUGCGGACAGUGUCUGGUGGGUAGUUUGACUGGGGCGGUCUCCUCCUAAAGAGUAACGGAGGAGCACGAAGGUUGGCUAAUCCUGGUCGGACAUCAGGAGGUUAGUGCAAUGGCAUAAGCCAGCUUGACUGCGAGCGUGACGGCGCGAGCAGGUGCGAAAGCAGGUCAUAGUGAUCCGGUGGUUCUGAAUGGAAGGGCCAUCGCUCAACGGAUAAAAGGUACUCCGGGGAUAACAGGCUGAUACCGCCCAAGAGUUCAUAUCGACGGCGGUGUUUGGCACCUCGAUGUCGGCUCAUCACAUCCUGGGGCUGAAGUAGGUCCCAAGGGUAUGGCUGUUCGCCAUUUAAAGUGGUACGCGAGCUGGGUUUAGAACGUCGUGAGACAGUUCGGUCCCUAUCUGCCGUGGGCGCUGGAGAAUUGAGGGGGGCUGCUCCUAGUACGAGAGGACCGGAGUGGACGCAUCACUGGUGUUCGGGUUGUCAUGCCAAUGGCACUGCCCGGUAGCUAAAUGCGGAAGAGAUAAGUGCUGAAAGCAUCUAAGCACGAAACUUGCCCCGAGAUGAGUUCUCCCUGACUCCUUGAGAGUCCUGAAGGAACGUUGAAGACGACGACGUUGAUAGGCCGGGUGUGUAAGCGCAGCGAUGCGUUGAGCUAACCGGUACUAAUGAACCGUGAGGCUUAACCUUACAACGCCGAAGGUGUUU